AGAGGGAUUCGCAGGGAGGUAAUCUCCUUUGCAGCUGACCUGCCGUGUACCUUGAAGUUCUGCUCCCCUGGCGUCCUUCUAUCUGCAGGCAUUACAACAGCAGCCACAGGCCAGGAAGGGUUUUGAUUCUUUUACGUGGAAGAUCAGACGUGUGCAUUCAGCUGAGACCUUCUGUGGAAAUGCUCGUCAUGUUUCCAUCCAAAUUCUUUUGAUAUAAAAUGUCAAAAAGGCUGACCUCUGGGCUGCCAAACCCCCUACCAACAGCAGCUCUGUCUGCACCUCUCCUUGAUUCCUUUCUAAGCCAUCUCACACUUUCUCCUUUGCUCUGUGUUGCACAGCUGGGAUCACAGAUUCAAAAGUCUUCAAGUACUUCCUCCCGGACGAGCUAGGAUCUAGAGCAAUGAGCUGCCGCGGCGCAUUCUGCAACACUGGGCUCUUCUCCAGUGCCUUGUGGUUGUUUAAAUGACCUCUAAAAAGCACUUGUCUGCAGUAGCAUGUGUCCAUGGGGAUGUGAAGACGGUGAAGCCGCUCGCCUUCUGUCAAAAGCUUUUCAUGCCAAAUGUUUCACAUAUGAGAAACAAAGGCAGAAAACUUACAGCUAACUAAUGAACUGUUUUAAAAAAGUAUCAUUUGUAAAUGGAAAAAAACCCCAACCCUUAUUUGAGGCCACUUAGGGAACCACUUGAUCCCUUCCCCACUGAGCUGAGAUCCAUGGCGACGGGGUAUUGCUUUUGCCUGUGGAACACAGAAGAAGUUUGGCCCCUUGGCCCAGGAGACUCCAGACCUGUCAAGACCCAGUGCCUCCGUAAUGCAUCUGCUUGUUCCUAUCCAAGGAUUUCCCAAGCUUCUGGCACGUGACUGACUCAGCCCCUCGGCAGCCUCUGGAUGCUGGAACUCUGCCAGCCCAUGGUUUCCACAUAUUAGUCCUUUAAAGGAGACUCUAUUUUUAAAGUUUGUUCAUUACCUUUUCAUAUCAUCUUGCGACCCAGUUCUGGGUCAUGACCCUCCAGUUGAGAAUUGCUGUCCUAGGCUGUCUGGUGGCCCCGCUCAUACAGUUGGGCAAGGAUUGCUUGUGCAUUCUGGAUCAACGGCUUGUUGUCAGUCCCCAGGGAGGGGAGGACAUGGGAAAUGAAACUUGAAGUGACCUUUCCAGGUCUCACUACAGUGUAUGUGUGUCUUGAAGUUGGAUUUAAAAGCCCAGGCUUGUGCUGCAGAGCAAAGCCUGGUGGGAGGCAGAGUGCCCAUGCUGGGUCCGUCUGAGCUGCCCAGGUGGGAGAGCAGAGCUCAGUUCCCGUCUUUGGCUCAGAAGGUUCAAGCCCACAUGUCCCAGGGGGAAACUCUUUGAGAAGAUCAUCAAGGAGUACAUCUGUGAUGGGCCGGCAUCGGGGAUGAUGCUCAAGGGCAACCAGCAUGGUUUCAUUAAGGGCAGGUCAUGUCAGAGCAACUUAAUUGCCUUUUACGAUCAGGUCACAAAAGCAUUGGAUGCAGGUGUCACCGUGGAUGUAGUCUUUCUGGACUUCAGCAAGGCCUUUGACACUGUCGACCAGCACAUCCUCAUUAAAAAACUAGGGUACUAUGGCAUCGAUGCCUACAUGGUCAGAUGGAUUGCUAAUUGGCUAAAGGGUCACACUCAGAGGGUGGUGGUGGAUGGGUCAUAUUCGACCUGGGGGAAGUGGGCUGCGGAGUCCCCCAGGGCUCGGUCCUGGGGCCUGCACUGUUCAAUUUCUUUAUCAGCGAUUUUGAUGACAGGGUGAAAAGCAACCUGUUCAAAUUUGCUGAUGAUACCAAAAUUUGGGGUGAGGUGGGCAUGGUAGUAGGGAGGGAAAGACUGCAGAGAGACCUGGAUAGGUUGCAGGGGUGGGCUAACAAAAACAGGAUGUGUUUCAAUAUGGAGAAGUGAAGGUUGCUGGACUUGGUCAAUAGUAACCAGCAGCAUGCUUAUAAGAUGGGAAACUCCCUUCUUGAGAGCACGGAGGCAGAAAGGGAUCUUGGAGUCUAUUGACUCCAAGAUGAACAUGGGUCCGACAAUGCGAGGUCACGGUAGGCAGGGCUAACCGGACUCUAUUGUUUAUCCACAGGUGCAUCUCAAGUAGGGCCAAGGAGGUGAUCCUCCCCCUCUACACGACACUGGUCAGGCCGCAGCUGGAGUACUGUGUCCAGUUCUGGGCACCCCACUUCAAGAGGGAUGUGCACAACAUUGAGAGGGUGCAGAGGAGGGCCACCCGCAUGAUCCGGGGAAAGCAGGGCAGACCCUAUAAUGAGAGGCUACAGGACCUGAACCUGUUCAGCCUUCACAAGAGAAGGCUGAGGGGGGACCUUAUGACCGUCUAUAAACUCACUAGGGGGGACCAGAAGGGUUUGGGGGACCCCUAGCGCCCCCUCAGGAUAACAAGGAAUAAUGACCACAAGUUGUUGGAGAGUAGGUUUAGAUUAGACAUCCAUAGGAACUACUUCACAGUUAGGGCGGCUAGGAUCUGGAAUCAACUUCCAGGGGAAGUGGUGCUGGCUCCUACCCUGGGGGUCUUUAAGAAGCGGCUUGAUGCCUACCUAGCUGGGGUCACUUGAGCCCAGUUUCCCUCCUGCCCAGGCACGGGGUCGGACCUGAAGAUCUACAAGGUCCCUUCCCACCCUACUUCUAUGAUUCUAUGAUUCUAUGAUUCAUUGCCGAGGGGAAGGUACAUACCAGGCUGUGGCUGGCAGCAGUUUCUGCCCAAAUUGAAGGGACUGGCAUGUCAGGAAGCCAAGACAAGUUCCCAUCAGCAGCAACACAGAGCGGGGAAAUCAAUACUCUGCCUCUUUCUUCUGUUUAGGAUAGAGUUUGUUGUACCAUAAUUGAUGAGUAAAGCCACCUAUAAUUCUUUA